GAUGAACGCUGACAGAAUGCUUAACACAUGCAAGUCGAUGGGGAAGUGGUGCUUGCACCAUGGUAACCAUGGCGGACGGGUGAGUAACGCGUAAGGAACUUGCCUGCGGGACUGGGAUAACAGCAGGAAACUGCUGAUAAUACCGGAUAAGGUCAUUAAGCUGCAUAGCUUAGUGAUGAAAGGAGACGCCUGCGGAGAGCCUUGCGUCCUAUUAGCUAGUUGGAGGGGUAACGGCCCACCAAGGCGAAGAUAGGUAGCCGGCCUGAGAGGGUGGACGGCCACAAGGGGACUGAGAUACGGCCCUUACUCCUACGGGAGGCGGCAGUGGGGAAUAUUGGACGAUGGGGGCAACCCUGAUCCAGCAAUUCUGUGUGCACGAAGACGGUUUUCGGAUUGUAAAGUGCUUUCAGCAGGGAAGAAGGAAGUGACGGUACCUGCAGAAGAAGCGACGGCUAAAUACGUG
rnacentral:rRNA from 1 species